rnacentral:rRNA from 1 species
AUUGAACGCUGGCGGAAUGCUUUACACAUGCAAGUCGAACGGCAGCAUGGGGGCAGCCCUGGUGGCGAGUGGCGAACGGGUGAGUAAUACAUCGGAACGUGCCCGGUCGUGGGGGAUAACGUAGCGAAAGUUACGCUAAUACCGCAUACGAUCUGAGGAUGAAAGCGGGGGACCUUCGGGCCUCGCGCGAUCGGAGCGGCCGAUGUCAGAUUAGGUAGUUGGUGGGGUAAAGGCCUACCAAGCCGACGAUCUGUAGCUGGUCUGAGAGGACGACCAGCCACACUGGGACUGAGACACGGCCCAGACUCCUACGGGAGGCAGCAGUGGGGAAUUUUGGACAAUGGGCGCAAGCCUGAUCCAGCCAUUCCGCGUGCAGGACGAAGGCCUUCGGGUUGUAAACUGCUUUUGUACGGAACGAAAAGGCUCUGGCUAAUACCUGGGGCUCAUGACGGUACCGUAAGAAUAAGCACCGGCUAACUACGUG